rnacentral:rRNA from 1 species
AGCAGCCGCGGUAAUUCCAGCUCCAAUAGCGUAUAUUAAAGUUGUUGCAGUUAAAAAGCUCGUAGUUGAAUUUCGGGAUCAAUAUAUCGGUCAUGCUUAGGUAUGUACUGGUAUUAUUGGUUUCUCCCUUCUGAAGAACCUUGAUGUCAUUAAUUUGGUGUCUUGGGGAAUCAGGACUGUUACUUUGAAAAAAUUAGAGUGUUUAAAGCAGGCAUACGCUUGAAUACAUUAGCAUGGAAUAAUGAAAUAGGACGUUUGAUUCUAUUUUGUUGGUUUCUAGGAUCGACGUAAUGAUUAAUAGGGAUAGUUGGGGGCAUUAGUAUUCAAUUGUCAGAGGUGAAAUUCUUGGGUUUAUUGAAGACUAACUACUGCGAAAGCAUUUGCCAAGGAUGUUUUCAUUAAUCAAGAACGAAAGUUAGGGGAUCGAAGACGAUCAGAUACCGUCGUAGUCUUAACCAUAAACUAUGCCGACUAGGGAUCGGAUGAUGUUAUUUUAAUGACUCAUUCGGCGCCUUAAC